rnacentral:rRNA from 1 species
GAUGAACGCUGGCGGCGUGCCUAAUACAUGCAAGUCGAGCGGACGGACGCGAAGCUUGCUUCUCUGAUGUUAGCGGCGGACGGGUGAGUAACGCGUGGAUACCCUACUUAUCAGUCUGGGAUAAUUUCGGGAAACCGGAGCUUAUACCGGAUGAUAUUUUGAACCGCAUGGGUCAAUAGUGAAAGUCGGCGUUUCGGGCUCUUAUAGAUGGUUCCGCGCUGCAUUAGAUAGUUGGUCAGGUAACGGCUUACCAAGGCAACGAUGCAUGGCCGAGGUGAGAGGCUGAUCGGCGACCCUGGAACGGAGCCGCGGUCCAGAGGCCUACGGGAGGGCGCAGUAGGGAAUCUUCCGCAAUGGGCGGAAACCUGACGGAGCAACGCCGCGUGAGAGACGACGGUCUUCGGAUCGUAAAGCUCUGUUACUGGGGAAGAACAUAUGUGUCCGUAAAUGUGCACAUCUUGACGGUACCUAAUCAGAAAGCCACGGCUAACUACGUG